rnacentral:rRNA from 1 species
GACGAACGCCGGCGGCGUGCUUAACACAUGCAAGUCGAACGGAAAGGCCCUGCUUUUGUGGGGUGCUCGAGUGGCGAACGGGUGAGUAACACGUGAGUAACCUGCCCUUGACUUUGGGAUAACUUCAGGAAACUGGGGCUAAUACCGGAUAGGAGCUCCUGCUGCAUGGUGGGGGGUGGAAAGUUUCGGCGGUUGGGGAUGGACUCGCGGCUUAUCAGCUUGUUGGUGGGGUAGUGGCUUACCAAGGCUUUGACGGGUAGCCGGCCUGGGAGGGUGACCGGCCACAUUGGGACUGGGAUACGGCCCAGACUCCUACGGGAGGCAGAAGUGGGGAAUAUUGCACAAUGGGCGGAAGCCUGAUGCAGCAACGCCGCGUGCGGGAUGACGGCCUUCGGGUUGUAAACCGCUUUCGCCUGUGACGAAGCGUGAGUGACGGUAAUGGGUAAAGAAGCACCGGCUAACUACGUG